UAUUUGUUCUUCUUCCACCUACAACACACUUCUUCUUGUUCUCUUCUUCUUUUGCUUACGAGUUACGAUUGUUCUUACUCUCACCAUCUUCUCACAUCUUUCUCUUCCAAUCUCUGUUGCAUAUUGUUAACAAAGAUGAGAUUCCAACAGUCUCUCUUAUUGAGAGAUAAAAAAUGGAACCUAUCUCAUCAACACAAAUCCGGCGUCUGCCAAUUAAAUAAAUCCGGCGUCUCAGAUCCACGAUUACACACAUCAUCGCCGUCGACUAAUUGCAAAUCAUACCACCGGAUUUUUGUUUUGUAGAGAGAGAGAUGAAACCGUCGGGUUCUUUUUUG
rnacentral:sRNA from 1 species